AGUGAACGCUGGCGGUAGGCCUAACACAUGCAAGUCGAACGGCAGCACAGUAAGAGCUUGCUCUUACGGGUGGCGAGUGGCGGACGGGUGAGGAAUACAUCGGAAUCUACUUUUUCGUGGGGGGUAACGUAGGGAAACUUACGCUAAUACCGCAUACGACCUACGGGUGAAAGCAGGGGAUCUUCGGACCUUGCGCGAUUGAAUGAGCCGAUGUCGGAUUAGCUAGUUGGCGGGGUAAAGGCCCACCAAGGCGACGAUCCGUAGCUGGUCUGAGAGGAUGAUCAGCCACACUGGAACUGAGACACGGUCCAGACUCCUACGGGAGGCAGCAGUGGGGAAUAUUGGACAAAGGGCGCAAGCCUGAUCCAGCCAUACCGCGUGGGUGAAGAAGGCCUUCGGGUUGUAAAGCCCUUUUGUUGGGAAAGAAAAGCAGCAGGUUAAUACCCCGCUGUUAUGACGGUACCCAAAGAAUAAGCACCGGCUAACUUCGUG
rnacentral:rRNA from 1 species